AAAACAAGUCUGAGCCAUCUGUUGACAGUCCAAGUAUGAGAAGGGAUGGUCCCCCAAAUGGUUCAGGUCAUGCUUAGAAGGGAAGGUUUACAAUCUGAACACUGGCAACCAUAUAUCUGAGUGGACAUCUGAGGGUUAAACAGGACUGAAGGCACAUUUGACUGUAUUCUCCUUUAAAACUGCUCUCCGCUGGACACAGUGGUACUGGAGGCAACACAUUCUGAUAUGUUGCCAUUAAAGCAAAGGGAUACACAACCUGAAACAGAAGAGAACACAGAAACAUACGUCCCAAGCCCUAAUUAUAUUUUAAAAGUCAAAACAAAUGAGUGUAAAAAAAAAAAAGAAGAUUACCACAGUGCUUAUGUAUUAUAUAUUAAGUAAUGCAAUUUUAUAGGCAGUCCACUGUAAUGUUAGGAAAAGUAUUUACAUUGUAAUAAAGCAAUUCAUAGCAUCAUUUUCGUCAUGCAAACAAGGCCGAUCAGUGUGUUCUGGAUUUUUUUUUUUUUUUUUUUUUUUUUUUGUAUACAACUGAUCUAGAACUACGUGUAAGUCCCAUAUUCUGUCACUCAAACAAACUUUGUACUGGACAGAUAUUUUAUACAUGUAACGUCAUGCAUGUAUAGCUUAGAAAGAAACAGUAUAGCUUUUCACUGUGAUUAUUUUCUUAGUCUACAUAAAAACAUACUCGCUACCAAGUGGUAUUUCAUGUAGCCAAGAAAAAUAACCACGGCAAAUAACUAAGGUGAAUAAAGUUGUACUCAUACUUCA